UGAGAGAGAGAGAGGCGCAGCCUCUGCCAUCCCCGUCCCACAAUACCUGUAAGGCUCCAUUCCUGAACGCAGAGCCGGGAAACAUGUUUUUAGGAAUUCAGAGUAUCAUGUUUCAUAAUUUGAUUUAAAUCAAUUAUCCCAUCCUUCCCUGGAACAGGCACGAGCUCCAAAAAUACAGGCUGUAAAUGGAAACAGCUGCAGCCUUUGGCCAGGAUGGAUUUCAGUCGGCGCAAUCAGCCUCCUCUCGAAGUACAUUAUCGCUGAGGCCCAGAGACGGUGGGAAGCACUUCCAGUGCCCUGGAAGGGACCACAAAGGCCUCGGCCUUGCUGAGCUCCGCAGCCCUGUGUGUGAAGAGAAAUUGUGAGAGGUUUGCGUGUGUUUACCGAGGAGGGCAUGAGCGCACGCAGCAAUCACGCAUGUCAUUUGGGCCCCAACACGCUGCCCAACAAAUGGAUCCCAUGCGCAGGAUUUGGCAUCCUUCCACUGAAAUCCUUCGCUUUAAUUGAUUUAAAAUGAUAAUUCAAUUAAAAUAAUUAUUCUAAUCAGACUUUGUAUCUUUUUUGGCAGGUUCCGUGGGGGCCUCUGCCCCCAAUGUUAUUUUAGUAUUUUCUCUAUUUGUUUUCUCACCCAGCUGACUUCGGCU
rnacentral:lncRNA from 14 species